UACGAAGGGGGCGAGCGUUGUCCGGAAUUAUUGGGCGUAAAGCGCGCGCAGGCGGUCCUUUAAGUCUGAUGUGAAAGCCCACGGCUCAACCGUGGAGGGUCAUUGGAAACUGGGGGACUUGAGUGCAGAAGAGGAAAGCGGAAUUCCACGUGUAGCGGUGAAAUGCGUAGAGAUGUGGAGGAACACCAGUGGCGAAGGCGGCUUUCUGGUCUGUAACUGACGCUGAGGCGCGAAAGCGUGGGGAGCAAACAGG
rnacentral:rRNA from 1 species